GGAGAUAUGGCUCAGUGGCAGAGCACCUGCUUUGCAUACAUAAGGCCCUGGGUUCAAGCCCCAGCAUCAUGA
rnacentral:tRNA from 1 species